CGAGCCUGCGACUUUUGUCGCAGAAAGCUCGACAUAGGGAUAGCGAUCCGGCGGCGGCGGCUACGGCGGCGGCGGCGUUAGCUAACUUCUUAAAAGCUUUAUAUUUUAGAAGAUGGAAGACCUGGAUGCUUCAUACUUUGUAUAUGGAUGCCUCAUGUUACGAAGUUUCCGUCAGUCACAUGUCCAAUGUCCUUGACCUCAUUUUCAUGGUUCAGUGACUACUUGAAAAAAAAGUUCAGAUUUUUUGUAAUGUUAAAUUCUCUCUUAUUAUAAGUAAUAGGAUAACUAUAUUUGGUAUCUGCGUACCUUGCAAGGUCCUCAUGCCCGUCAGACAGUUUUCACUUGACCUCGACCUCAUUUCAUGGAUCAGUGAACAAGGUUAAGUUUUGGUGGUCAAGUCCAUAUCUCAGAUACUAUAAGCAAUAGGUCUAGUAUAUUCGGUGUAUGGAAGGACUGUAAGGUGUACAUGUCCAACUGGCAGGUGUCAUCUGACCUUGACCUCAUUUUCAUGGUUCAGUGGUUAUAGUUUAGUUUUUGUGUUUUGGUCUGUUUUUCUUAUUCUGUAUGCAAUAGGUCUACUAUAUUUGGUGUAUGGAAUGAUUGUAAGGUGUACAUGUCUAGCUGGCAGGUGUCAUCUGACCUUGACCUCAUUUUCAUGGUUUAGUGGUCAAAGUUAAGUUUUUGAGUUUUGGUCUUUUUUUCUAAUACUGCAUGCAAUAGGUCAGCUAUAUUUGGUGUAUGGAAUGAUUGUAAGGUGUACAUGUCUAGCUGGCAGGUGUCAUCUGACCUUGACCUCAUUUUCAUGGUUCAGUGGUUAUAGUUUAGUUUUUGUCGAGCCUGCGACUUUUGUCGCAGAAAGCUCGACAUAGGGAUAGCGAUCCGGCGGCGGCGGCGGCGGCGGCGGCGUUAGCUAACUUCUUAAAAGCUUUAUAUUUUAGAAGAUGGAAGACCUGGAUGCUUCAUACUUUGUAUAUGGAUGCCUCAUGUUACGAAGUUUCCGUCAGUCACAUGUCCAAUGUCCUUGACCUCAUUUUCAUGGUUCAGUGACUACUUGAAAAAAAAGUUCAGAUUUUUUGUAAUGUUAAAUUCUCUCUUAUUAUAAGUAAUAGGAUAACUAUAUUUGGUAUGUGCGUACCUUGCAAGGUCCUCAUGCCCGCCAGACAGUUUUCACUUGACCUCGACCUCAUUUCAUGGAUCAGUAAACAAGGUUAAGUUUUCGUGGUCAAGUCCAUAUCUCAGAUACUAUAAGCAAUAGGUCUAGUAUAUUCGGUGUAUGGAAGGACUGUAAGGUGUACAUGUCCAACUGGCAGGUGUCAUCUGACCUUGACCUCAUUUUUAUGGUUCAGUGGUUAUAGUUAAGUUUUUGUGUUUUGGUCUGUUUUUCUUAUACUGUAUGCAAUAGGUCUACUAUAUUUGGUGUAUGGAAUGAUUGUAAGGUGUACAUGUCUAGCUGGCAGGUGUCAUCUGACCUUGACCUCAUUUUCAUGGUUUAGUGGUCAAAGUUAAGUUUUUGAGUUUUGGUCUUUUUUUCUAAUACUGCAUGCAAUAGGUCAGCUAUAUUUGGUGUAUGGAAUGAUUGUAAGGUGUACAUGUCUAGCUGGCAGGUGUCAUCUUACCUUGACCUCAUUUUCAUGGUUCAGUGGUCAAAG